rnacentral:sRNA from 2 species
UCCGGGCCGACGCCGAGUUCUGCCCACGGUCCGGGGUCCCUCCAAGACAGCUUGGGCAGAAGCGGGGGAACCAGGUUCCUCCGGGCGGCCCCGUCACGGCCGCCCUCGGGGUUAAGUCGCCUCCACGGAGACGACCGGGCUUCCCGGCCCGAACCCGACAGCUAACCUCGCAGGCGUACGGGAAGGAUUC